GACGUAGGGGGCGAGCGUUAUUCGGAAUUAUUGGGCGUAAAGCGCUCGUAGGCGGGAUCGAAAGUCCGUGAUGAAAGACCUGGGCUCAACUCAGGGAACGGCACGGAUACUACGAUUCUUGAGGCAAUCAGAGGGUGAUGGAAUUCCCGGUGUAGCGGUGAAAUGCGUAGAUAUCAGGAGGAACACCGGUGGCGAAGGCGGUGGGCUGGGCCGGCACUGACGCUGAGGAGCGAAAGCGUGGGGAGCGAACAGG
rnacentral:rRNA from 1 species